rnacentral:rRNA from 1 species
GCGCGAAAACUUUACAAUGCUGGCAACAGCGAUAAGGGAACCUCGAGUGCCAGGUUACAAAUCUGGCUGUCGAGAUGCCUAAAAAGCAUUUCAUAGCAAGGGCCGGGCAAGACCGGUGCCAGCCGCCGCGGUAACACCGGCGGCUCGAGUGGUAACCGUUAUUAUUGGGUCUAAAGGGUCUGUAGCCGGCCGGAUAAGUCUCUUGAGAAAUCUGGCAGCUUAACUGUCAGGCUUUCAGGAGAUACUGUCUGGCUCGAGGCCGGGAGAGGUGAGAGGUACUUCGAGGGGUAGGGUGAAAUCUUGUAAUCCUUGAAGGACCACCAGUGGCGAAGGCGUCUCACCAGAACGGACCUGACGGCAAGGCGAAAGCAGGGGCACGAACCGGAUUAGAGACCCCGAG